rnacentral:misc_RNA from 1 species
UCCAGAAAGCCACAGUGAAGAUGGGGAGUCGGUUUUACACACAGGAGCAGCUCAGGAUAGCCUUAUCAACCAAAGUUGGUGACACCUGAAAUGGUCUUAAACAGAUCAGGAAUUGCGUUUAGCACUUGGAAUAGAGAGCUUGAUAAAGAUUAUUAUAUAGGGCCUGAAAUUUCUUUAUUAAUGGUGUUAGUUCUGGGACAUUUUAAGGCUCCCGAAAGCGUAAGCACUGUAAAAUAG